GGAGUUUGGACCGUAUCUCAGUUCCAAUGUGUCCGAUCAGCCUCUCAGCUCGGAUAUGCAUCGUUGCCUUGGUAGGCCAUUACCCCACCAACUAGCUAAUACACCGCAAGCCCAUCCCAAAGCGAAGCCGAAGCUCCUUUUAGCACAAAUAGUUAUCUACUUGUGAAUCAUCCGGUAUUAGCUAUCGUUUCCAAUAGUUGUCCCAGACUAAGGGGUAGGUUACCCACGUGUUACUCACCCGUCUGCCACUAAGUGGAAAUCCACUUCCAAUUCCGUGCAAGCACUUCUUCUUCAGUGGGCCACUCCGUUCGACUUGCAUGUCUUAGGCAUGCCGCCAGCGUUCAUC
rnacentral:rRNA from 1 species